GGGUACUAUUGAUGUCACAAUUUCCCGCUUUUAUCGACCGAGAAUGUCUAAAGUAGCCUUACUUCUUUUGUUGGCCUUCAUCGCCUUGGACGUGAAAUGCGCUCCCAACUUCAGGCGCAAAUUCGAAUCAGACCCUGAUGCUGUGCCUAGGAGUUCAGACUGUUAUGAUUUUAAGCCCAUAGAGUGCCAGUUGUACAAAACCUGUGCAUCUCUUACCGCCAGGGAGAACUGUCCAAGAACCUGCCGAAUGUGCGAAGACUUCGCAUAGAGACGCACUGAAGUUUUACAAUCUGAACGAGAUUUUCACUUUAACAGAUGAAAAUUGUUGAUUGUUGUCCUAAUAAGAAUAAAAAAGAAAGAAAGAAA